GGCGCUAUAGCCAAGUCGUUACGGCGACAGAUUAGAAUGCGACCUGAGGAAAGCAAGUUAUCUGUUCCUCUUUGAGGGCGCAGGUUCAAAUCCUGCUGGCGUCG